rnacentral:rRNA from 1 species
AAAGAAACCAACAGGGAUUGCCCUAGUAACGGCGAGUGAAGCGGCAACAGCUCAAAUUUGAAAUCUGGCUUCGGCCCGAGUUGUAAUUUGCAGAGGAAGCUUUGGGCGCGGCACCGACUGAGUCCCCUGGAACGGGGCGCCAUAGAGGGUGAGAGCCCCGUAUAGUCGGACGCUAAGCCUGUGUAAAGCUCCUUCGACGAGUCGAGUAGUUUGGGAAUGCUGCUCAAAAUGGGAGGUAAAUUUCUUCUAAAGCUAAAUACCGGCCAGAGACCGAUAGCGCACAAGUAGAGUGAUCGAAAGAUGAAAAGCACUUUGAAAAGAGGGUUAAAUAGCACGUGAAAUUGUUGAAAGGGAAGCGCUUGUGACCAGACUUGCGCCUGGCUGAUCAUCCGGUGUUCUCACCGGUGCACUCUGCCAGGCUCAGGCCAGCAUCGGUUCUCGCGGGGGGAUAAAGGCCCUGGGAACGUAGCUCCUCCGGGAGUGUUAUAGCCCAGGGUGCAAUGCCCUCGCGGGGACCGAGGUUCGCGCAUCUGCAAGGAUGCUGGCGUAAUGGUCAUCAGCGACCCGUCUUGAAACACGGACCAAGGAGUCAAGGUUUUGCGCGAGUGUUUGGGUGUAAAACCCGCACGCGUAAUGAAAGUGAACGUAGGUGAGAGCUUCGGCGCAUCAUCGACCGAUCCUGAUGUUUUCGGAUGGAUUUGAGUAGGAGCGUUAAGCCUUGGACCCGAAAGAUGGUGAACUAUGCUUGGAUAGGGUGAAGCCAGAGGAAACUCUGGUGGAGGCUCGCAGCGGUUCUGACGUGCAAAUCGAUCGUCAAAUCUGAGCAUGGGGGCGAAAGACUAAUCGAACCAUCUAGUAGCUGGUUACCGCCGAAUU